GAACAUGACUGUACACCAAGAGCCAAGAAGAGUCAUACUAGUGGAUAUUUUCUUAGCUGGUACAUGGUUGCGCUGAACCCUCUCGACGUCAACUUUUAUCGGCUGGAUUCUAGCAUCUAACGUUACGAUUGCCUCUGUUGGGUUUGCUUGAUCAACCAUCGUUUCGGGGACUCUGAUGACAGUGAAGAGCCAGAAAAUGGUGACUGCAUCUCUGAGGUACCUUCCAACUCGCCUGGUAUAUCAGUUGAAGCCUCAAGCCCAAGCCAAUUGCACUGGCAAAGUAAGUAAUAAUCUCUUAACAUUGAAAUAACUAAAUCAUAAUAUUAAUAUUAGAGAUAUGGUUAACAUUCUUAGUGCUAAAGACAUUCCCCUCUCUUUGUAUCUAUUCCUCCAG